ACAGGUUUUAUAGGUGGGCCUAGAUUCAAAUCUCAUUCUUGCCAUUUUUUAGUGUAACUUAAGCAAGCACCUAUUCUCUCUAACCUUCAGUUUUAUCAUCCAAAAAUGAAAACAAUAUUUGUCACAUAGGAUGUCACAUCGGGGAUGAAAUGAGAUUAUGUAUGUGAAGCGCUCCCAAAAUGGUAGCUAUUGUUGUUUGAGUUAGGCUAGCACAGGUAGGCAUGUAAGUAGGUGCUCCAAUAUCUGGAAACCCUGUUUGUUGUAGGGACCCACGAUCACUCACCCUGCCAGCCUCACUGUCACCUGCACUCUUUAACCUUAGCUUCACAUACCUCUUUUACUGGGAGAACUGAUGUGUUUUAUAAUAAGCCAGAGGUCUUGCAAGGCCUGAAUUAUUGAGAA
rnacentral:lncRNA from 1 species